GCCUUUUGUGGCUAACGGAGGUGUUACUGUAACAGGAUGCCGCUUUGAGGGAGUGUGACAAUUCUUCCAGCUUAUGCCCUUAUGUCAACGAAGCAUGUUUGCUUGUGGUAUUUGUGUUUAAUUCUUCGAUUGGUGUUUCCUAUCUAGAAUUACGCUUUCACAACAUAGGCGAGCCAGCUAAGAAGAGAUAUCUCCUACUUUCGGGUGAUGUCCUGCUGCAAGAGACCAUGAUACAUCAUGGUCUCUUGCCUGCUGUGAGUGACAUGAUAAUGUCAAGUAUCGCAUACGCAUAUACAUAUCCCAUAUUAAUUUUUAAAAUAAUUUUGGCAUCAUUAAUAUGUUUUUUUAGAAUGAAGAACAUAAAAUGAGAAACAAUCUAAAAUAAAAACUGCAAGCCGACUAGUUGAACUAUUCUUUAUAUCGGGUUUCCUUUGGAAAUUCACGCAUGCUCAUCUUGUAGACCGCUGAUCAGUUGUUGUCAUUUGAAACCUGACUCGUGUUCAAGUACUUGACAUUUGCAUUGAAAUUAAUCUCAUAAAUCGGCCUUUUUCCCAGAAACCUCUUGACAGAAGUGACUUCCAAGGAUGAACCAAGACUAUUAUACAGCAUCUGAGAUUAGUAUACAGCAAGGGUAGAGUUUAUUUUUUGUGAUUUGUCUCCUGUACAAACAGGUAUGUGUAUCUAAUAAAGACGGCUGUCAAGAAAA